rnacentral:rRNA from 1 species
CUCCAUGGUCAUACCACCCUGAAUGACCAGAUCUCAGAGGCUAAGCGGGGUUGGGCCUGGUUAGUACUUGGAGAAAUGAUUUAUGAAGUGUUCAAGAUUUAGAAA